rnacentral:rRNA from 1 species
CCGACGGUGAGGGAUGAAAGCUGGGGGCACGAACCGGAUUAGAUACCCGGGUAGUCCCAGCCGUAAACGAUGCUCGCUAGGUGUCUGGGAUGGUGCGACCGUUUCAGGUGCCGCAGGGAAGCCGUGAAGCGAGCCACCUGGGAAGUACGGCCGCAAGGCUGAAACUUAAAGGAAUUGGCGGGGGAGCACUACAACGGGUGGAGCCUGCGGUUUAAUUGGACUCAACGCCGGAAAACUCACCUGGGGC